CCUACGGGCGACAGCAGUGAGGAAUAUUGGUCAAUGGACGAGAGUCUGAACCAGCCAAGUAGCGUGAAGGAUGACUGCCCUAUGGGUUGUAAACUUCUUUUAUAUGGGAAUAAAAUGUUCCACGUGUGGGUUUUUGUAUGUACCAUAUGAAUAAGGAUCGGCUAACUCCGUGCCAGCAGCCGCGGUAAUACGGAGGAUCCGAGCGUUAUCCGGAUUUAUUGGGUUUAAAGGGAGCGUAGGUGGAUUGUUAAGUCAGUUGUGAAAGUUUGCGGCUCAACCGUAAAAUUGCAGUUGAAACUGGCAGUCUUGAGUACAGUAGAGGUAGGCGGAAUUCGUGGUGUAGCGGUGAAAUGCUUAGAUAUCACGAAGAACUCCGAUUGCGAAGGCAGCUCACUGGACUGCAACUGACACUGAGGCUCGAAAGUGUGGGUAUCAAACAGGAUUAGAUACCCCUGUAGUC
rnacentral:rRNA from 1 species